CCUCUCUUAGCGGGUGUUCAGAGAGGGGCCCUGUGCCCUAGGCCAGGGGUCUGCUGGAGGUGUAGGAAGUGGGGUGUGACAGCUCAGCCCUGACCUUGCUUCCUCCCCCCCGGCACGAUGCGCAGGGCUACACUUAAAUCGCGGCAGGGGCUGUGCAUCUGCGCCGCUGUAGCACUUCGGUGAAGACAGGAGAGCGUCUCCCGUCGGCGCAGUUAAGCCACCUCCCAGAGGACAUCGCUACAUUGAUGGGAGAAGCCCUCCCAUGGACACAGCACUGUCCCCUGUGCGGGUGAAGUCGGUCCGGGGGCUUGUCCAGGAUGCAAGCUUGUGAACUGAUUGAGGAACUGAGACUGAAAUCCAAAAGGAGUGCCAGGUCUUGUCUGGCUCAGAAGUCUCUGACUUGAAGAACUGCGAUUGCAUGAAACCAACAGGUCCCUGAAAUCUCCGUCACAGAGCAAAGGGGAUGAGCGAGAGGACAGGAGAUACUGCAAUUUGCUGGGGAUGGGACGCCUGCCAAGAAUUUGUCAAGUUCACUGACAGCAAUAAACAAUCUCUGAAGGAGGGAGCUGAAAAACUUUGCCAGCAGGGAAGGCAGAGUUCACAAAGCAAGAUACAUAUCAUCAGUGUAAUAUUCAAGAUCAUCUUUGGACUGAGAUUUUUUUGAAGCAUGGCCUAGUGGACAGAGCCCGGGACUGGGUGUUGGGAAACCUGCAUUCUGUUCCCGGCUCCACCACUGACCUGCUGUGUGACCUUGAAUAACCCACUUUGCCUCUGUUUCCCAUCCUAUCCUUUGUCUGUCAUGUCUAUUUAGAUUAUAAUGUAUCACCAGUAAGAGAACUCUCCAAACUCAAGAGAUCUAGAAAAUCUAAGUUCAGGUUUUCAAGGGUCCCUGGAGGCAAUGACCCUGUCUCCUUCUUUCAGACCACUUUUAAGAUGCCCUUGACAUAAGAUCCUUGUAGAAGGUUCCCCCAGGACCUUCAGAUCUGAAGUCAGCAUUGAGUGAAUGCUUCACACACACCAGGGAGAAUGCUGAAUGGCAACCACAGAACUGGCCAAUUGGCCAGAUUUCUUCCCCAGCAUGUCACCAAGCAACAGAGAGCAUUUACUCUUGUCAUCUGAGUGCUCCAGGGAUAGCGCUGCAUUGCACUCACACACUCCUGCUCCGUCAUGCCCAGGUCUAUGGCUAUGUCAGGAGACACUGCUAUGAAGAGUUCUCCUUCAUCAGGAAUACCAGCCAGCAAGGGGCUAUGGGGACCAUCUCAGCAGCUUUACAGACACCAGUUCCCGGAUGCUCAAUAAAGGGAUAAAGCA